GAACCCGGAAAAGACAACGGCUGACGGGAUAGUAUAUAGCGGGCCGGAACGCGCAAGGGCUGACGGGAUAGAGCGUACAGCGGGGCAGGCCGCAGUAACUUGCCCACGGUCACCCCAGCAUUUGGGCCCGUUUGGAUUUUUGCACCAGUUGGG